UAUGCAACGUGCCUAUCAGAGGGGGAUAACCCGGCGAAAGUCGGACUAAUACCGCAUGAAGCAGGGGCCCCGCAUGGGGAUAUUUGCUAAAGAUUCAUCGCUGAUAGAUAGGCAUGCGUUCCAUUAGGCAGUUGGCGGGGUAACGGCCCACCAAACCGACGAUGGAUAGGGGUUCUGAGAGGAAGGUCCCCCACAUUGGUACUGAGACACGGACCAAACUCCUAC
rnacentral:rRNA from 1 species